rnacentral:tRNA from 1 species
AGACAAAUAAUUGAUCUUGAUGUUUGAUUUAACUAUUAUCAGACCAAGAUCCUGUCACCUUGGGUCGAUCGGUACCUCAGAUUAAUUAACUAGACGGUUAUUCAUUCAAUGAAUAAUUUAAAGUAUUAAUUUCAGUUCCUAAACUUGUCUAGGUCACACCCCAUAAGGGUUACUCCUGGGCCAUUAGCUCAGGUGGUUAGAGCGCACCCCUGAUAAGGGUGAGGUCCCUGGUUCAAGUCCAGGAUGGCCCAUUCGGUGUUGGGGGUAUAGCUCAGUUGGUAGAGCGCCUGCUUUGCAAGCAGGAUGUCAGCGGUUCGAGUCCGCUUACCUCCACUGGCCGACCCCUUUCCACGAUUUAGUUAGAGGACCUUUAUGAGACGUGAUUUAGAUGAUUGGCUGAUUGGAACCUAGCUUCCUCUCAUACCAUGCCUUUUUGGCAAGGUUGAAAGGACGCUGGGCUCACUUCAUUCCUAAAAAAGGAAGGAGAGAUGUUCAGCAGAACCUUGACAACUGCAUAGUGAGUCUGGAAAAAAUAAAGCAUCUCAUGGAUGCAUUGUUUUACCGUUUAAAUCUUUAUUUUUUAAGUUAAAGAUUUAAACUAAAAUAGUGUUAUUUCUGAGCAAGAGCCGAGACUCUAUAGCUUUUCUUUUUAUGUAAUAUCAUCAUAAAGAGUUCGAUCUUUGAUUCUUUUUCUUUGCUUUUAGUCAGAUUUCUGUCUUAGUUUUAAGAAAAUACGAAUCAACGAGAAAUACGCCUUCAACUGCGUAGACAGCUAUAGAGGUUAAUUU